UACGGAGGAUCCAAGCGUUAUCCGGAAUCAUUGGGUUUAAAGGGUCCGUAGGCGGUUUAAUAAGUCAGUGGUGAAAGCCCAUCGCUCAACGGUGGAACGGCCAUUGAUACUGUUAAACUUGAAUUAUUAGGAAGUAACUAGAAUAUGUAGUGUAGCGGUGAAAUGCUUAGAGAUUACAUGGAAUACCAAUUGCGAAGGCAGGUUACUACUAAUGGAUUGACGCUGAGGGACGAAAGCGUGGGUAGCGAACAGG
rnacentral:rRNA from 1 species